GUUCUGAGACAAGCAGAAGUUUCAAAAUUUACUGAGCAAGGUAAACUGGCUCCCAAUUAGGAAGGACCCUAUCAAGUCACUGAUAUAGUUUGCCCAGGGACUUAUAGAAUUAAAAAUUUAGAUGGGUUUGUUGUUCCCCGCACUUAAAAUUUUAAAAAUCUCUAAAAAUAUUAUCAAUAAAAAUACUCUAACGAGCUCUUUCUUAUACAUCAUAUCCUCCCAUGUAUCGAGAUUUGGUUCUUAAACUGACAAAGCUCCAUAUGGCAC
rnacentral:lncRNA from 1 species